rnacentral:rRNA from 1 species
UGGGGAAUUUUGGACAAUGGGCGAAAGCCUGAUCCAGCAAUGCCGCGUGUGUGAAGAAGGCCUUCGGGUUGUAAAGCACUUUUGUCCGGAAAGAAAUCCUUGGCUCUAAUACAGUCGGGGGAUGACGGUACCGGAAGAAUAAGCACCAGCUAACUACGUGCCAGCAGCCGCGGUAAUACGUAGGGUGCAAGCGUUAAUCGGAAUUACUGGGCGUAAAGCGUGCGCAGGCGGUUUGCUAAGACCGAUGUGAAAUCCCCGGGCUCAACCUGGGAACUGCAUUGGUGACUGGCAGGCUAGAGUAUGGCAGAGGGGGGUAGAAUUCCACGUGUAGCAGUGAAAUGCGUAGAGAUGUGGAGGAAUACCGAUGGCGAAGGCAGCCCCCUGGGCCAAUACUGACGCUCAUGCACGAAAGCGUGGGGAGCAAACAGGAUUAGAUACCCUGGUAGUCCACGCCCUAAACGAUGUCAACUAGUUGUUGGGGAUUCAUUUCCUUAGUAACGUAGCUAACGCGUGAAGUUGACCGCCUGGGGAGUACGGUCGCAAGAUUAAAAGCUCAAAGGAAUUGACGGGGGUCAUAGCUG